CUCUGCAGCUCUGCCUCAACGCUCUGCAGCUCUGCAGCUCUGCUCCAAGGACUUCAGCUCUGCAGCUCUGCUCCAAGGACUUCAGCUCCGCAGCUCUGCUCCACGGUCCUUCGCUCCCGAGUCACCUCCGGGUCAGUCUCCCCGUGUUCCUCCUGCUAGCCAGCUUCCGCACCCUUCACCUCCGUCCAUAAGACUCUGGUUCCUCUCGUCAUUCACC